rnacentral:rRNA from 1 species
UNGGAAUUACUGGGCGUAAAGCGGGCGCAGACGGUUACUUAAGCAGGAUGUGAANUCCCCGGGCUCAACCUGGGAACUGCGUUNUGAACUGGGUGACUAGAGUGUGUCAGAGGGAGGUAGAAUUCCACGUGUAGCAGUGAAAUGCGUAGAGAUGUGGAGGAAUACCGAUGGCGAAGGCAGCCUCCUGGGAUAACACUGACGUUCAUGCCCGAAAGCGUGGGUAGCAAACAGGAUUAGAUACCCUGGUAGUCCACGCCCUAAACGAUGUCGAUUAGCUGUUGGGCAGCAUGACUGCUUAGUAGCGAAGCUAACGCGUGAAAUCGACCGCCUGGGGAGUACGGUCGCAAGAUUAAAACUCAAAGGAAUUGACGGGGACCCGCACAAGCGGUGGAUGAUGUGGAUUAAUUCGAUGCAACGCGAAGAACCUUACCUGGUCUUGACAUGUACGGAACCCUUCAGAGACGGAGGGGUGCCUUCGGGAGCCGUAACACAGGUGCUGCAUGGCUGUCGUCAGCUCGUGUCGUGAGAUGUUGGGUUAAGUCCCGCAACGAGCGCAACCCUUGUCAUUAGUUGCCAUCAUUAAAUUGGGCACUCUAAUGAGACUGCCGGUGACAAGCCGGAGGAAGGUGGGGAUGACGUCAAGUCCUCAUGGCCCUUAUGACCAGGGCUUCACACGUCAUACAAUGGUCGGUACAGAGGGUAGCCAAGCCGCGAGGCGGAGCCAAUCUCACAAAACCGAUCGUAGUCCGGAUUGCACUUUGCAACUCGAGUGCAUGAAGUCGGAAUCGCUAGUAAUCGCAGGUCAGCAUACUGCGGUGAAUACGUUCCCGGGUCUUGUACACACCGCCCGUCACACCAUGGGAGUGGGGGAUACCAGAAGUAGGUAGGGUAACCGCAAGGAGCCCGCUUA